rnacentral:lncRNA from 1 species
CCGAGGCCCGUAGUAAGCCUAAAUUAUUCAAUCUGUCUACAUGAUUCUCCUAAUUUCAACAAAACAGUAAGCCCAUAUGACUUAAGAUAUAAGUUUUAUAAAAUUUUUAAACAUCUGGCCCAAUAUCAAAUAAUACAUAAAAUUUAACCAGGGCCUAUUCACAAUAACUCAUAAUCACAAUAAGGGCUUACUAGUUUACCUACAGUUAAUUACACAAUAAUUAAUUUAUAGCGUAGUGCUAACAAUAAGGCCCAAUUUAAAUACACAACCCUAUAACUGCGGAGUCCAAAAAUCUGAUAACAGAAUAAUUUAUACAUUCAAAAUUAAAUAUCAAGAAUAUAAAGUUUACAUUUAUAACUCUGCGGAGAAGAUUGCAGAGCUUCAN